GACCCGCCGGUUCUCUUCUUCGCCCCAAAUACCAAGAUCUGUCGGAUCCCCCUUUCUCCCUUCUCGAUCGUCCCAUCGCCCUCUCCGAGCUGCCCUAGUUCCGUCGUUCCGCCGGAGUUCCACCCGAGCGCCCUCACGCCGCCGGAGUUCUACCAAGCUCGCGCCUUCCUCAACCUGCUGCGGCCCUUAUUUCUGUUUACUAUGCAAAGUUAACACUUUUAUUUACCUCCUCUGUUAACUACUGCUACUUAUACUUCAGAUAAUUUGUUGUCGACGGGAUCCGGUGAUGUCGAAGUCGGGAGCUCUAGAUCUUGCUUCUGGGGUGGGAGGAAAGAUCGAGAAGAAUGAAGUCAAAUCGGCCGUCGAACA